rnacentral:rRNA from 1 species
CCUACGGGAGGCAGCAUUGAGGAAUAUUGGUCAAUGGGCGCGAGCCUGAACCAGCCAAGUCGCGUGAGGGAGGACGGCCCUACGGGUUGUAAACCUCUUUUGCCGGGGAGCAACGGGCGCCACGUGUGGCGUCACUGAGAGUACCCGGAGAAAAAGCAUCGGCUAACUCCGUGCCAGCAGCCGCGGUAAUACGGAGGAGGCGAGCGUUAUCCGGAUUUAUUGGGUUUAAAGGGUGCGUAGGCGGAUCGUUAAGUCAUUGGACAAUUUGAGGGGCUCAACCCCUUCCCGCCAUUGAAACUGGCGUUCUUGAGUGGAAGAGAAGUAUGCGGAAUGCGUGGUGUAGCGGUGAAAUGCAUAGAUAUCACGCAGAACCCCGAUUGCGAAGGCAGCAUGCCGGCUUCCGACUGACGCUGAAGCACGAAAGCGUGGGGAUCGAACAGGAUUAGAUACCCCGGUAGUC